UCCCCACUGAUUUAAUAAUUGAAGGGCUGCAGUAUAUUGACUGUACAAAGGUAGCAUAAUCAUUAGUCAUUUAAUUGAUGACUUGUAUGAAGGAUUGGAUGAAAUAUAAUCUGUCUCUUAAUUAAUAAUAGAAUUUAAUUUUUUAAUUAAAAAGUUAAGAUGGUUUAAAAAGACGAGAAGACCCUAUAGAGUUUAAUAAAUAAAUUAUUUGAUAUUAUUUAUAAUUAUAAAAUUGAAAUUAAUUUAUUUAUUUUGUUGGGGUGAUAAAAAAAUAUAAAAAACUUUUUUUUUUAGCUAACAUUUAUAAGUGAUUAAAUGAUCCAAUAUUAUUGAUUAUAAGAAUAAAUUACCUUAGGGAUAACAGCGUAAUUUUUUUUUUUAGUUCAUAUAAGAAAAAGAGUUUGCGACCUCGAUGUUGGAUUAAGAUAAAAUUUAAAUGCAGAAG
rnacentral:rRNA from 1 species